GAAAGCCUGAUGCAGCGACGCCGCGUGAGGGAUGACGGCCUUCGGGUUGUAAACCUCUUUCAGCAGGGACGAAGCGCAAGUGACGGUACCUGCAGAAGAAGCACCGGCUAACUACGUGCCAGCAGCCGCGGUAAUACGUAGGGUGCGAGCGUUGUCCGGAAUUAUUGGGCGUAAAGAGCUCGUAGGCGGUUUGUCGCGUCGGCCGUGAAAACUUGGGGCUUAACUCCAAGCUUGCGGUCGAUACGGGCAGACUUGAGUUCGGCAGGGGAGACUGGAAUUCCUGGUGUAGCGGUGAAAUGCGCAGAUAUCAGGAGGAACACCGGUGGCGAAGGCGGGUCUCUGGGCCGACACUGACGCUGAGGAGCGAAAGCGUGGGGAGCGAACAGGAUUAGAUACCCUGGUAGUCCACGCCGUAAACGGUGGGUGCUAGGUGUGGGGGGCUUCCACGCCCUCUGUGCCGCAGCUAACGCAUUAAGCACCCCGCCUGGGGAGUACGGCCGCAAGGCUAAAACUCAAAGGAAUUGACGGGG
rnacentral:rRNA from 1 species